rnacentral:lncRNA from 1 species
CUUUGGUACUUAGAAGAGGGAAAUUUGGAUGCUGAACAAGACAAUCACAGGGCCAGUGUCCCAGUUUAAAGUCAGAUGAAUGUUGGGUAAAAUUAUAAAAAUAGAAACUGCCUUAGGACAGUAAUAAAAACAUUCAACAUUGUCUUUCAAGGUGACCAGGGUCUCUAUUUCUAAAUGCAGGGUGCUGCGAGGGAAGAACACUGUUAAGUGAGCCAUGUGAGUGAGGGAUUUAUCUCCUGCUUAUGAAACAGUCAGCUCCUUUCUCAGCUUCAAAGAGAACAAAAGUCUGUUUUGUAACAAUUCCCUGGAGGCCUUUAGAGUUUCUACUUAAGAUAUAUUUAAUCCCUCCUGCUAAAAUAUGACUGCCUUCAAGUCUCCCCUCCAAUUCAUAUGGACAGAAAGCCCAAUGACAGCUCUGGAGAAGAUAUCACUGCCAAAGAAAAUGAAAGCAGCCUGGAAAUAUAAGCAUAAGACAGAGAAAAUACAACAGUCAGGGCAGAGAAUGUUAGCUCCAGGAAAAAAAUUGAAGAGAGGAAAAGGUCUGAAGAGCUCUUAUGUCAAGUCUAGAUUCUUUUCAGCUCUUUGUUAAAGCACCAAGAUAAACAGACCAGGGUGAACCUACUGGAAAAACAAACACAUGUGUAUACUUUAGACAUUGGAAAUAAGACAUCUGAUCAUCAAAACAAGCAUCAGCUGUGUGUGACUCUUUUGGCUCUCUGAAGAUCAAGAAGUCAAAUGGGUUUAAAGACUGGCUCUACUGUUAAGAGGACUUUGGGAGCCCAUUCACUAUGGAGGGAUACUAUUGCAGCCCAGAUACAGCAAGGAGGGCCUAGGCCCUCCCCCAAAUGAUAUGACAGACUUGGAAGGUCCCUUGUGGAGGACCUCACUAUCCCUGGGGAGAAGUUAGGGGGUUGGGAGUAACAUGGGAGGAUGGGAAGUCAAGGGAAUGGGGGGAUGGAUAUGUAAAUAUCAGUAGUAAUUAAAGAAUUAAAAAAAAGAAGUCAAAUAGUUCAAUUGGAAUUGCUGAACCAGCGUCAUGAGUUUGCUUUCAUAGUGGCAUUGUUCACUCUCCAGGGAGGCCCUUAAAACGGGAAAAUUUCCCUCACCCUAAAGUCCAGCUGCUGCAAACUAAAACCUAGUGGAAUGUCUCAAGCACACCAUGUGGUACCUAAUCACCUACUAUUGAGAUCUGCUGGUCCAUGUUGACCACUGUAGGAAGCAGCAGAUAUUUCUCACUCUUAUACCAGAAAAUUCUGGACAGUAGUCUAUGUUUGCUUAUGGACACUUGGAAUCACACCUUCCAUCUCUUGCAUAAGCAUCUACCCAUCAACCACUCGCACUCUGGCAUGCCAGGGCAUCCUUGUAUUGUCUGCUUCUUUUAAGUCUUAUUGUUCCCAUCAAGCAGAAUGAUGCAACUGUGAGAUAGAGGGAAUACACUAUUGAAUUAUUUAUUUUCCAUUUUCUGUUAUAGUUACCCAAAACCUUGUUUAUUAUUAUUUUGUUCUGAGAAAUUUUUGCCAUCUGCAGGUGUCCACAAAGGCGAGAAGAGGGCAGUAGAUCCCCUGAAAUUAUAGAGAUACAAGUGGUUG